ACCGAGAGAAUGGCAGGAAGCUGGGCUGCGGAGGGCGCGGGGAUGUGACGGACGCAGAGCUGGAGCGGCGCGGGGCUGUGACAGACGCGGGCCUGUAAUGGACGCGGUGCUGUGGAAUUUAUGGGCCACAACAGCGGACGAUGGGGAAUUACGAUAGGAGCAGAGACGACGGGGUACCCGAAGAGGAUUUUGGGAUAGGCCACGCUGAAAGCGACGGUAGACGGGGAGAAAAACGGGAGACGUUGGACUGGCAGACUCACAGGAUGAUGAAGAGUACGAGAAUAUUUCGACGGACCGAUUUUGCCCGUUAUUAUGCAAAAAUUUUAGUUUUCUCUGCCUGAAUGAAGACCGCGAUCGACCGUUUCUCACGCGAAGACUAGGACCGCUUCGUCUUCCUCUUGUUAACGCGGGCCGGCGGUCUGGGCAUCAAUCUAAAGAACGGGUAACACGGCCACCAUCUUCGACUCCGACAGGAAUCCCCAGGACGAUCUGCAGUGCUCUAACUUACCCGGAAACAGAUCGCUUGGGAAAGCGAUACUGACUCUGACGGGGCUUAGAGGCCAUAUUCCGAUGAUUCUCAGCAGUCGCUAUGUUUCCUAUCACGGUCAAAUUUUUGUGUUGGUAUUUUAGCCUUUAAGCCUUACUUUGAUCUG